UACAGCAACGGUUUGCCUUAGCUUGAUAAUUUUCGGUCAGUUUUGGCCGGUUUUCGCCAACUUUAUACAUAUCCCUGCGAAAAAAUACGUUAGGGAACCUCGAUUAGCCCAAAAAGUUAAAAAAACGGAAACCUACAAGUGGUGGAGUUUUCUGAGUGCGGCAGCUCCGCCAAUUCACCUUCGUGGCUAGAAUUUUUUCU
rnacentral:lncRNA from 1 species